rnacentral:rRNA from 1 species
GACGAACGCUGGCGGCGUGCUUAACACAUGCAAGUCGAACGGUGAACCAGAGCUUGCUCUGGGGAUCAGUGGCGAACGGGUGAGUAACACGUGGGCAACCUGCCCCAGACUCUGGGAUAACCUCGGGAAACCGAUGCUAAUACCGGAUACGACCACUUCGGACAUCCGACGGUGGUGGAAAGUUUUUCGGUCUGGGAUGGGCCCGCGGCCUAUCAGCUAGUUGGUGGGGUAAUGGCCUACCAAGGCGACGACGGGUAGCCGGCCUGAGAGGGCGACCGGCCACACUGGAACUGAGACACGGUCCAGACUCCUACGGGAGGCAGCAGUGGGGAAUAUUGCACAAUGGGCGAAAGCCUGAUGCAGCGACGCCGCGUGAGGGACGACGGGCC